CUGUUGGAGAGAAGUUCACAGUUUGAUGGAAGGCAGCCUGUGAUGUUAGACUCACUGCCGACACCAAAGAGCACAGCCAGGACCAGAAGGCAGAGCUGAGCCAGUGCAUCCUGCUGCAAGG
rnacentral:lncRNA from 1 species